UACGUAGGUCCCGAGCGUUAUCCGGAUUUAUUGGGCGUAAAGCGAGCGCAGGUGGUUUAUUAAGUCUGGUGUAAAAGGCAGUGGCUCAACCAUUGUAUGCAUUGGAAACUGGUAGACUUGAGUGCAGGAGAGGAGAGUGGAAUUCCAUGUAUAGCGGUGAAAUGCGUAGAUAUAUGGAAGAACACCGGUGACGAAAGCGGCUCUCUGGCCUGUAACUGACACUGAGGCUCGAAAGCGUGGGGAGCAAACAGG
rnacentral:rRNA from 1 species